rnacentral:rRNA from 1 species
AUUGAACGCUGGCGGCAUGCCUUACACAUGCAAGUCGAACGGUAACAGGUCUUCGGAUGCUGACGAGUGGCGAACGGGUGAGUAAUACAUCGGAACGUGCCCGAUCGUGGGGGAUAACGAAGCGAAAGCUUUGCUAAUACCGCAUAAGAUCUAAGGAUGAAAGCAGGGGACCGCAAGGCCUUGCGCGAACGGAGCGGCCGAUGGCAGAUUAGGUAGUUGGUGGGAUAAAAGCUUACCAAGCCGACGAUCUGUAGCUGGUCUGAGAGGACGACCAGCCACACUGGGACUGAGACACGGCCCAGACUCGUACGGGAGGCAGCAGUGGGGAAUUUUGGACAAUGGGCGAAAGCCUGAUCCAGCCAUGCCGCGUGCAGGAUGAAGGCCUUCGGGUUGUAAACUGCUUUUGUACGGAACGAAAAGACUCUGGUUAAUACCUGGGGUCCAUGACGGUACCGUAAGAAUAAGCACCGGCUAACUACGUGCCAGCCGCCGCGGUAACAC